rnacentral:sRNA from 1 species
CCCAUCUUCAGGGAGCAUAUGACCUGGUGGGAAUGUGGUACAGAAGAGAAGUCAACGACAAACAGAGAGUGACUCAACUGUGCCUGAGAUGUCACAAUGCUCUGUGUGACUAUGUGUCAAGGGAAUGCCACUGAGAGUAAACAAAUGCUCUGCGUUCCUAAGAAGGAGAAAAGGCUGUGACAAAGGGAGGUUGGACAAACCCUUGGGAGGUGGCCUGCUUCUGUAUCUAACCUUGAAGAUUACAGGUGGGCAUCACCAAGUCUCACCCAGUGGAACUCACAACAGAGAACUCUUCCACAGAGAAAGUAGACUGGAGAUUGCUUGGGGCAAGGAAGAGAGGAGAGCGAAGAGCUGAAGACACUCGUGUAAACACUGCCCCUGGCCGGUGACUUAGCCUUCAUAGAAUGCUUUCUCGUGGUGCCAGAAGCUCAAAAACAUAUUCUGCUUCUCAUGCUUUGCAGAAUUGCUGGGAAAAUAUUGCCUCAUGCCCCCUUUGAGAAAGAACCUGUGUAUUGGAAGACAAAAAUAUCUAUGUCACUUAAAGUAUUUCAUUAAACCCAACUAUCUCCCUGAAAAAUAAUCUAUGUUUUCCUAUGCCUGUAGAAUACUUAAAUUCCACUUGCAAGAUUAAAAAGAAGA